GAUCUCAACUCAUACGUGACUACCCCCUAAAUUUAAGCA
rnacentral:rRNA from 1 species